ACAGAGGUCCCGAGCGUUGUUCGGAUUCACUGGGCGUAAAGGGUGCGUAGGUGGGCAAGUAAGUCAGUGGUGAAAUCUCCGGGCUUAACCCGGAAACUGCCAUUGAUACUAUUUGUCUUGAAUACUGUGGAGGUCAGCGGAAUAUGUCAUGUAGCGGUGAAAUGCUUAGAUAUGACAUAGAACACCAAUUGCGAAGGCAGCUGGCUACACAAAUAUUGACACUGAGGCACGAAAGCGUGGGGAUCAAACAGGA
rnacentral:rRNA from 1 species